rnacentral:ncRNA from 1 species
CAAAUAGAGGCGCCUGUUGCAUGAGUCACCGUUUUCGAGGGAAAGCGACCUGAAAAGGAAACGGCAAAAGGGUAACGGGCCGAAACAGUUUUGUCCCGCUUAACAAACUGUUGGGUCAGUGUGUGAAUAACCGCUGGACUGUCACGGAGAGAUAAAUCCGUGGAGCGCUAUUU